rnacentral:tRNA from 1 species
GCGGGUGUGGCGGAAUGGUAGACGCAGAGCAUUCAAAAUGCUCCGGCCUUUGGCCGUGGGGGUUCGAGUCCCCCCACCCGUA